rnacentral:rRNA from 1 species
GAUGAACGCUAGCGGCAGGCUUAACACAUGCAAGUCGAGGGGUAACAGGGUAGCAAUAUCGCUGACGACCGGCGCACGGGUGAGUAACGCGUAUGCAACCUUCCUUUAACUGGGGGAUAGCCCGGAGAAAUUCGGAUUAAUACCCCAUAACAUCACAGAGAGGCAUCUUUUUGUGAUUAAAGCUCCGGCGGUUAAAGAUGGGCAUGCGUACCAUUAGCUAGUUGGUGAGGUAACGGCUCACCAAGGCAACGAUGGUUAGGGGGUCUGAGAGGAUGAUCCCCCACACUGGUACUGAGACACGGACCAGACUCCUACGGGAGCAG